rnacentral:rRNA from 1 species
GGUCACAAACACAUCACACUGAAUGUAUCCACUCUUGUCUGAUCCUGGAAGCCAUGUAAUUCCAGUUUUGAAUAGUACAUGGAUGGAACACUGUCUGGAAAUCCCAGGUUUUGUCAGCA